rnacentral:tRNA from 1 species
GGGAAUGUAGCUUAGUGGUAGAGUGCUUGCCUAGCAUGCAUGAAGCCUUGGGUUCGAUUCCUCAGUACCA